ACCUCACUGAUGAGUCUUACGUAGACGAAACGCGCGUCUGGCGU
rnacentral:hammerhead_ribozyme from 1 species